rnacentral:rRNA from 1 species
AGAGUUUGAUCAUGGCUCAGAUUGAACGCUGGCGGCAUGCCUUACACAUGCAAGUCGAACGGCAGCACGGGCUUCGGUCUGGUGGCGAGUGGCGAACGGGUGAGUAAUGUAUCGGAACGUACCUUUCAGUGGGGGAUAACGUAGCGAAAGUUACGCUAAUACCGCAUAUUCUGUGAGCAGGNAAGCAGGGGAUCGCAAGACCUUGCGCUGAUUGAGCGGCCGAUAUCAGAUUAGCUAGUUGGUGGGGUAAAGGCCUACCAAGGCUACGAUCUGUAGCGGGUCUGAGAGGAUGAUCCGCCACACUGGAACUGAGACACGGUCCAGACUCCUACGGGAGGCAGCAGUGGGGAAUUUUGGACAAUGGGGGCAACCCUGAUCCAGCCAUGCCGCGUGAGUGAAGAAGGCCUUCGGGUUGUAAAGCUCUUUCGGCCGGGAAGAAAUCGCAUAGGUUAAUACCCUGUGUGGAUGACGGUACCGGAAUAAGAAGCACCGGCUAACUACGUGCCAGCAGCCGCGGUAAUACGUAGGGUGCGAGCGUUAAUCGGAAUUACUGGGCGUAAAGCGUGCGCAGGCGGUUUCGUAAGACAGAGGUGAAAUCCCCGGGCUCAACCUGGGAACUGCCUUUGUGACUGCGAAGCUAGAGUACGGCAGAGGGGGGUGGAAUUCCACGUGUAGCAGUGAAAUGCGUAGAGAUGUGGAGGAACACCGAUGGCGAAGGCAGCCCCCUGGGCCGAUACUGACGCUCAUGCACGAAAGCGUGGGUAGCAAACAGGAUUAGAUACCCUGGUAGUCC